rnacentral:rRNA from 1 species
UCUAGAGAAGUGUUACCUGUGCUGGACCAUGUACAAGUCUCCUGGAAUGGAGCAUCAUAGAGGGUGAGAAUCCCGUCUUUGACAUGGACUACCUGUGCAUUGUGGUGUGCUCUCAAAGAGUCGAGUUGUUUGGGAAUGCAGCUCAAAAUGGGUGGUAAAUGCCAUCUAAAGCUAAAUAUUGGCGAGAGACCGAUAGCGAACAAGUACCGUGAGGGAAAGAUGAAAAGUACUUUGGAAAGAGAGUUAAACAGUACGUGAAAUUGCUGAAAGGGAAACGCUUAAAGUCAGUCUCGUCAGCUAGAAAUCAACCUUGCUUUUGCUUGGUGUACUUUCUGGUUUGAUGGGUCAGCAUCGAUUCUUUUGACCAUUGGAUAAAGGCUUUGGGAAUGUGGCAUCUUUGGAUGUGUUAUAGCCUAUUGUCGCAUGUGAUGGUUGGGAUCGAGGAACUCAGCACGCCUGCAAAGGCCGGGUUUUAACCACGUUCGUGCUUAGGAUGCUGGCAUAAUGGCUUUAAUCGACCCGUCUUGAAACACGGACCAAGGAGUCUAACAUGCCUGCGAGUGUUUGGGUGGAAAACCCAUGCGCGCAAUGAAAGUGAAAGUUGAGAUCCCUGUAAGAGGGGAGCAUUGACGCCCGGACCAGACCUUUUGUGACGGAUCCGCGGUAGAGCAUGUAUGUUGGGACCCGAAAGAUGGUGAACUAUGCCUGAAUAGGGUGAAGCCAGAGGAAACUCUGGUGGAGGCUCGUAGCGAUUCUGACGUGCAAAUCGAUCGUCAAAUUUGGGUAUAGGGGCGAAAGACUAAUCGAACCAUCUAMUANCUGGUUCCUGCCGAAYUUUCCCUCAGGAUAGCAAAAACUCMUAUCAAAUUUWUGUGGUAAAGCGAARGAUUAAAGGCCUUGGGGGUUGAAAAACCUUAACCUAUU